ACAGGGGCCAUGAUGGGCCAGUGCGAAGGAAAACUGUUCAAACCAAAGUGAAAAAGCAAAUAUGGCAAGUUCCUCCACCCAGCCAAGCCCUACUCAAGGAAAUGGGACAGCCAAGCUGGAGCAUGAGGCCUUCAUGCUCUGCAGAAUGAGGAAAACAAUACAGAGGGCAGGUUACUUGGGGAACUCCUGUGAGCCACGUUCCAGUCAGUGGCAUCUGUAUGGACUUCAGAGCAGAAAGAGCUUCUGUGGGUUGUAAAAGAAUGCCAGUGCGCUGCUGAGCUGAAGCAUGAAACUUGUGUUGGUCUUGCGGUUUGGCUUUCGGGAUAAGAGGUACUCAUUCAUGUCUCCUCCAUCACAGAAAUCCAUUACAAACCACAGGUGCAAAGCGUAUCAAGUCCACGCUCCUGCCCAGAAGCUAGAGCUAGCCCCAGAUAACAGUAUUUUGGCAGAUACCAACAGGACACUGCACUCACAUCUGUUUCAGCUGGACACUGUCCCACCCCAACACAACCCGUCCCGCUCGCUUCGCUAACAAUUUGAAUGUACAAAUAAAUCCUCAACCAGUAACUUCCUACAGUGUCAGGGGUUGAAGUUGUCCUCCCUAAGCAGCGAGGAGCUCAAGCAGCCAGGAGCUCAAGCAGCCAGUUCUAAAUAGCUGUUUUGUACAGACAAGCAAAGUAAGAGCAGCAAUCAGUUUUACCAAUCCUGUUUACACCACUAACAUUUACCUCUUCAGUUCCUCUGAGGUGCCUCCUGGCACGCUCAGGGAAAACC